rnacentral:rRNA from 1 species
AACGAACGCUGGCGGCAUGCCUAACACAUGCAAGUCGAACGAGACCUUCGGGUCUAGUGGCGCACGGGUGCGUAACGCGUGGGAACCUGCCCUUAGGUUCGGAAUAACUCCCCGAAAGGGGUGCUAAUACCGGAUAAUGUCUUCGGACCAAAGAUUUAUCGCCUUUGGAUGGGCCCGCGUUGGAUUAGCUAGUUGGUAGGGUAAAAGCCUACCAAGGCGACGAUCCAUAGCUGGUCUGAGAGGAUGAUCAGCCACACUGGGACUGAGACACGGCCCAGACUCCUGCGGGAGGCGGCAGUGGGGAAUAUUGGAGAAUGGGCGGAGGCCUAAUCCAGCAAUGCGGGGUGAGUGGUUAGGGCUUUAGGUUUUUAAAGCUCUUUUACCCGGGAUAAUAAUACCGGAACCGGGAAAAAAGGCCCCGCUAACCUCGGU